GAUGAACGCUGGCGGCGUGCCUAAUACAUGCAAGUCGAGCGAACGGACGAGAAGCUUGCUUCUCUGAUGUUAGCGGCGGACGGGUGAGUAACACGUGGAUAACCUACCUAUAAGACUGGGAUAACUUCGGGAAACCGGAGCUAAUACCGGAUAAUAUUUUGAACCGCAUGGUUCAAAAGUGAAAGACGGUCUUGCUGUCACUUAUAGAUGGAUCCGCGCUGCAUUAGCUAGUUGGUAAGGUAACGGCUUACCAAGGCAACGAUGCAUAGCCGACCUGAGAGGGGGAUCGGCCACACUGGAACUGAGACACGGUCCAGACUCCUACGGGAGGCAGCAGUAGGGAAUCUUCCGCAAUGGGCGAAAGCCUGACGGAGCAACGCCGCGUGAGUGAUGAAGGUCUUCGGAUCGGAAAACCCUGUUAUUAGGGAAGAACAUAUGUGUAAGUAACUGUGCACAUCUUGACGGUACCUAAUCAGAAAGCCACGGCUAACUACGUG
rnacentral:rRNA from 1 species